CCUACGGGUGGCAGCAGUGAGGAAUAUUGGUCAAUGGCCGUAAGGCUGAACCAGCCAAGCCGCGUGAAGGACGAAGGUGCCAUGCUUUGUAAACUUCUUUUAUAGAGGAAUAAAGUUAUCCACGUGUGGAUGUUUGCAUGUACCCUAUGAAUAAGCAUCGGCUAACUCCGUGCCAGCAGCCGCGGUAAUACGGAGGAUGCGAGCGUUAUCCGGAUUUAUUGGGUUUAAAGGGUGCGUAGGUGGUUUUUUAAGUCAGCGGUGAAAGUUUGGGGCUCAACCAUAAAAUUGCCGUUGAAACUGGCAGUCUUGAGUGUGCUUGAGGUAGGCGGAAUGCGUGGUGUAGCGGUGAAAUGCUUAGAUAUCGCGCAGAACUCCGAUUGCGAAGGCAGCUUACUAAGCGAUAACUGACACUGAAGCACGAAAGCGUGGGGAUCAAACAGGAUUAGAUACCCGAGUAGUC
rnacentral:rRNA from 1 species